rnacentral:rRNA from 1 species
UACGUAGGGUGCGAGCGUUGUCCGGAAUUAUUGGGCGUAAAGGGCUCGUAGGCGGUCUGUCGCGUCGGGAGUGAAAACUCAGGGCUUAACCCUGAGCCUGCUUCCGAUACGGGCAGACUAGGAGGUAGGCAGGGGAGAGCGGAACUCCUGGUGUAGCGGUGGAAUGCGCAGAUAUCAGGAAGAACACCAGUGGCGAAGGCGGCUCACUGGCCCAUAACUGACGCUGAGGCACGAAAAGCGUGGGGGAGCAAACAGG